UGAAGGAACUGGGAAANCUUGGUGGC
rnacentral:piRNA from 1 species